UACGUAGGGUGCAAGCGUUGUCCGGAAUUAUUGGGCGUAAAGAGCUCGUAGGCGGUCUGUCGCGUCUGCUGUGAAAAUCCAGGGCUCAACCCUGGACCUGCAGUGGGUACGGGCAGACUAGAGUGCGGUAGGGGAGAUCGGAAUUCCUGGUGUAGCGGUGAAAUGCGCAGAUAUCAGGAGGAACACCGGUGGCGAAGGCGGAUCUCUGGGCCGUAACUGACGCUGAGGAGCGAAAGCGUAGGGAGCGAACAGG
rnacentral:rRNA from 1 species